ensembl:lncRNA
AUUUCCCAGUUAAUAUGCCCUUGCUCCAUCUUAUGCAGAACCAAUUCUUUGCAUACCUUUCUCACUAGAUAGUGAGUUCCUCAUGGACUGGGAUUGAAUCUGUUUGUCUCUGUGGUCCCAUAUCCAGUGGUCCCCUACCCCAUAUUGCUCCUGGAAGUGACUAGGGAAUUCCACUGCUUCUUUUUCUUCUUUCCCUCUGUCUACUCACAGCUUAGGCCCUGAUUGUAUUUGGGCUCUUGAAAUGAAAGGAUCUGAACAGGGAAAUUUGCCCUGACUAUCCUUCUACUACUUCCUGUGGAAGAGGUUAGGGAGAGGAUGAGGAGGAAGAGGACACAUUGGUGGCAUUCUGCAUGAGGAAAUCACAGCCUGUGUUGCUUAGCCCAAGACCCUGAAGGAGGACAUCUGCAAUUAGAGUCUCCCGCAUGUUGGACUUCACAAAACAGCGUUCUCCAGAUUCGACAAGAUCUUUAUGCCUAGAAGCACAAGGAUUUUGCUGUCUACUUCUUUCUUUUCCCUUGGACCUCCCAAGAUGACUGAGCUGGCCCCAUUCCAUGAGGAAAGGAGAAUGGGAGAAAAAAGAAGAAAGAAAGGGGAAAAUAACAAGGAGGCUUCUGUCUGAGAUCCCAAGGCAGACGUAAAAAGCUGGAAGAGAAGAUAAAUAUGAGCUAUCGGCAGAGAAGGAGAAUUGCUCUCCUUAACCCAGGCGAGGGAGAAUGCGUCCUAAGGAAAGAAGGGUUUAGUAAGACUUUCUGAGGCUUCUGAGGCUUCUAUGAGUUUUCUUUCCUUUUUUUUUUUUUUUUUUUUUUUUUUUUUUANNNNNNNNNNNNNNNNNNCUUUUUUUUUUUUUUUUUUUAACAUCGACCAGAAAGCUUUGUUGUCUAGGAAAGGGUAAAAGGAUGUCUGGCUGAAUUGGAAUUGACAAAACUAGGCAACUCAGAGAGGGCAGUCUCGGGAGCAGCCUUUAACCACAAAAGAGAUAUUGAAGGCGAUGCAAUCGAUGGAGCCGGAGCGGGCACAGGAGGAAGAUGAUGAAAACCAUCAAAUUCGAUCACUGGGCAGGAGUGGUCAGCGUUAGCUUCCUCGGCAAGGGUCACUCGAUGUCAGCCUCCAUUCAGGGGCUUUCACCUCCCCUGCUGAUUACUUUUUUAGGAUCAUAAAGUUUGAGUGUUGGGAGGGAAUAGUGCAUGCUGCCUGCUCCAAACUUCUUUCUGGGCCUGGAACAUCUUUCACUCGUCGCUGAUGUGAGUGGCUUUGCUGGACUCAUGGGUUAUGGAACUGUUGACUCAGAUGCCUUGAAUACACUUGACAGGUAUGACUUCUCUCCCUGAAGACAUUCAUUCAUUCAGUCAGUCAAAAUUUAUUCCUAUCCACGGUAGGUUUCAGGAAAUCUGGCUACAGAGUCCUUGCAGUUUCUUCCAUCAAUAGGUGGAGUCCCAGUCCCCUGGGCACUUGAUUUGGCCUAACUGAACAAGGAGAAUGAGAGACAUAUGGAGAGAGACUUCAACUAUCCCAGUUGUCUCUAUCACAUCCGAGGCCAGACUUGUGUGCAGAGGCAGCAGGCUCCAUGUGGAGAGGAACUGACUCAGCUGAGCCCAGCCCCAGUUGCUGAUCCAGAAGGUCUUUAGCAAACAAAGGGGCUCAAAAUAAACAUUUAAACCAAUACCUUUUGAAGUAGUUU